GCCCCCAUCGUCUAGUGGCCCAGGACAGGUGGUUCUCAGCCAUCAGACACGGGUUCGAAUCCCGUUGGGGGUA
rnacentral:tRNA from 1 species